rnacentral:rRNA from 1 species
AUACGGAGGGAGCUAGCGUUGUUCGGAAUUACUGGGCGUAAAGCGCACGUAGGCGGUUACUCAAGUCAGAGGUGAAAGCCCGGGGCUCAACCCCGGAACUGCCUUUGAAACUAGGUAACUAGAAUCCUGGAGAGGUGAGUAGAAUUCCGAGUGUAGAGGUGAAAUUCGUAGAUAUUCAGAAGAACACCAGUGGCGAAGGCGGCUCACUGGACAGGUAUUGACGCUGAGGUGCGAAAGCGUGGGGAGCAAACAGGAUUAGAAACCCCGGUAGUCC